rnacentral:rRNA from 1 species
UACGGGGGGGGCAAGCGUUGUUCGGAAUUACUGGGCGUAAAGGGUUCGUAGGUGCCAACUAAGUCAGACGUGAAAUCCCUCAGCUUAACUGGGGAACUGCGUCUGAUACUGAUUGGCUUGAGUGCAGGAGAGGAACGCGGAAUUCCAGGUGUAGCGGUGAAAUGCGUAGAUAUCUGGAGGAACACCGGUGGCGAAGGCGGCGUUCUGGACUGCAACUGACACUGAGGAACGAAAGCCAGGGGAGCAAACGGG